CACGUAGGGGCCAAGCGUUGUCCGGAUUUAUUGGGCGUAAAGAGCUCGUAGGCGGUUGGGUAAGUCGGGUGUGAAAACUCCAGGCUCAACUUGGAGACGCCACCCGAUACUGCUCUGACUUGAGUUCGGUAGGGGAGUGGGGAAUUCCUGGUGUAGCGGUGAAAUGCGCAGAUAUCAGGAGGAACACCGGUGGCGAAGGCGCCACUCUGGGCCGAAACUGACGCUGAGGAGCGAAAGCGUGGGUAGCAAACAGGAUUAGAUACCCUGGUAGUCCACGCCGUAAACGUUGGGCACUAGGUGUGGGCCCUAACCAACGGGGUCCGUGCCGUAGCUAACGCAUUAAGUGCCCCGCCUGGGGAGUACGGCCGCAAGGUUAAA
rnacentral:rRNA from 1 species